rnacentral:rRNA from 1 species
CGAAAGCCUGACGGAGCAAGACCGCGUGGGGGAGGAAGGUUUUUGGAUCGUAAACCCCUUUUGUCAAGGAAGAAGUUCUGACGGUACUUGACGAAUAAGCCUCGGCUAACUCCGUGCCAGCAGCCGCGGUAAUACGGAGGAUGCAAGCGUUAUCCGGAAUCAUUGGGCGUAAAGCGUCCGCAGGUGGCUGUUCAAGUCUGCUGUCAAAGACAGAAGCUUAACUUCUGAAAGGCAGUGGAAACUGGAGAGCUAGAGUACGGUAGGGGUUGAGGGAAUUCCCAGUGUAGCGGUGAAAUGCGUAGAUAUUGGGAAGAACACCAGUGGCGAAGGCGCUCAACUGGGCCGUAACUGACACUCAGGGACGAAAGCUAGGGGAGCG